CUAUACAUGCAGUCGAGCGGACAGAAGGGAGCUUGCUCCCGGAUGUUAGCGGCGGACGGGUGAGUAACACGUGGGUAACCUGCCUGUAAGACUGGGAUAACUCCGGGAAACCGGAGCUAAUACCGGAUAGUUCCUUGAACCGCAUGGUUCAAGGAUGAAAGACGGUUUCGGCUGUCACUUACAGAUGGACCCGCGGCGCAUUAGCUAGUUGGUGGGGUAAUGGCUCACCAAGGCGACGAUGCGUAGCCGACCUGAGAGGGUGAUCGGCCACACUGGGACUGAGACACGGCCCAGACUCCUACGGGAGGCAGG
rnacentral:rRNA from 1 species